rnacentral:pre_miRNA from 1 species
CCCACACCCAUGUGUGUAGGAACCCAAAGGAUCACCAUUAAAUUUGGCACAGAUCUCUAGAAAAGUUAUCACAUCGAUAUGGGACUUGACUUUUAUAGAAAUCUGUGCCAAAUUUAAUGGUGAUCCUUUAGGGUACUACACACAUGGGUGUGAG